rnacentral:rRNA from 1 species
GGGAGUACGGUCGCAAGAUUAAAACUCAAAGGAAUUGACGGGGACCCGCACAAGCGGUGGAUGAUGUGGUUUAAUUCGAUGCAACGCGAAAAACCUUACCUACCCUUGACAUGCCAGGAACUUGCCAGAGAUGGCUUGGUGCUCGAAAGAGAACCUGGACACAGGUGCUGCAUGGCCGUCGUCAGCUCGUGUCGUGAGAUGUUGGGUUAAGUCCCGCAACGAGCGCAACCCUUGUCAUUAGUUGCUACGAAAGGGCACUCUAAUGAGACUGCCGGUGACAAACCGGAGGAAGGUGGGGAUGACGUCAGGUCAUCAUGGCCCUUAUGGGUAGGGCUACACACGUCAUACAAUGGCCGGUACAGAGGGCUGCCAACCCGCGAGGGGGAGCCAAUCCCAGAAAACCGGUCGUAGUCCGGAUCGCAGUCUGCAACUCGACUGCGUGAAGUCGGAAUCGCUAGUAAUCGCGGAUCAGCUUGCCGCGGUGAAUACGUUCCCGGGUCUUGUACACACCGCCCGUCACACCAUGGGGGCGGGUUCCGCCAGAAGUAGUUAGCCUAACCGCAA